CUGGUAUGUGGGUGCCUGG
rnacentral:piRNA from 1 species